AUGGCUGUUGUGAGGGGAAGUUGGGUGUCGCUGCUGCCACGGAUGGAAAAUCCUGCCAGAGGGGUGGGUAGGAGCAGCCUGGGAUCAUCCAGUGCCACGGGAGCAGUGGCUGCUUUCCAAGGGCAGCUCCAAAUGCAGCGGCUCCAGCAGUGGUGGAUGAAGUUCUCCAGCUGCAGCAGGUCUUCAGCGACUGAAAGGGGUGUAGUAGAGCUCUGCAGCUUCUGCCCACAGCUUCUGCUCAGCCAUGGUGGGAGUCGCUGCUUCCUCAAGAGUUCCCUGCUGAGAAGAGAUGUGGUUUUAAGAAGAUGGAGAUGGCUCACCCUGCAUUAAAGGACUGGGCAGGGGAUUUCAAACUAAAAUAUGUGUCCAGUUCUGACCAGCGCCUCCGUGUUGCUGUGUAAGAAGAUGGGUUAGUCCAGAAGGAAUAAAUAUGGUCUUCACAGAGUGAAUGAUGCAGAGAAUGUGUAUUAGGAACUUCUCCCUGAAAAGGGGUUUAAAAGGUAGAAUCAUAGCAUUGAAGAAUGUCCUGAGCUGGAAGGCACCCACAAGGAUCACUGAAAUCCAAAAGGUGGGCAUAAUUCAAAUACCACGGGGACAAGGACAGCAGAGGAAUUGCUUUACCAGGUAAGAUCUCUGGCAGGAAUGUCAGACUUGUUGCUUCAGGACAUCAGUCGCUCUCUAACGCUGAAGA
rnacentral:lncRNA from 13 species